UAAUAGGUCUGGCCUGCCCAGUGAUAAAAUUUAACGGCCGCGGUAUAUUGACCGUGCAAAGGUAGCAUAAUCAUUAGUCUUUUAAUAGAAGGCUGGAAUGAAAGGUUUAACGAGAAAUUAACUGUCUCAAUUACAAACUUGAAUUUAUCUUUUGAGUCAAAAGACUUAAAUAUAAUUGGGGGACGAGAAGACCCUAUAGAGCUUAACAAUUUUUUUUCUAUAUUUAUUUAGUUAAAUUAUUUAUAUAUAUUGGAAAAAUUGUUUUGUUGGGGUGACAAUAAAUAUAUAUUUAACUUUUAUCAUAACAUAAACAUUAAUUUAUGAUUUUUGGAUCCAAAAAUUUUGAUCAAUAGAUUAAGUUACCUUAGGGAUAACAGCGUAAUCUUCCCUCAGAGUUCAUAUUUACGGGAAGGCUUGCGACCUCG
rnacentral:rRNA from 1 species